GAGUUUGAUCAUGGCUCAGAUUGAACGCUGGCGGCAUGCCUUACACAUGCAAGUCGAACGGCAGCACGGGAGCAAUCCUGGUGGCGAGUGGCGAACGGGUGAGUAAUAUAUCGGAACGUGCCCAGUCGUGGGGGAUAACGCAGCGAAAGCUGUGCUAAUACCGCAUACGAUCUCUGGAUGAAAGCGGGGGACUCGCAAGAGCCUCGCGCGAUUGGAGCGGCCGAUAUCAGAUUAGCUAGUUGGUGGGGUAAAAGCUCACCAAGGCGACGAUCCAUAGCUGUUCUGAGAGGAAGAUCAGCCACACUGGAACUGAGACACGGUCCAGACUCCUACGGGAGGCAGCAGUAGGGAAUCUUGGGCAAUGGGCGCAAGCCUGACCCAGCCAUGCCGCGUGUGUGAAGAAGGCCUUAGGGUUGUAAAGCACUUUCAGUCGUGAAGAAAUAUUCAUAGUUAAUAGCUAUGAGUCUUGACGUUAACGACAGAAGAAGAUCCGGCUAACUCCGUGCCAGCAGCCGCGGUAAUACGGGGGGAUCGAACGUUAAUCGGAAUUACUGGGCGUAAAGCGCGCGUAGGCGGUUUGUUAAGUGAGAUGUGAAAGCCCUGGGCUCAACCUGGGAACUGCAUUUCAAACUGGCAAGCUAGAGUAUGGUAGAGGCCGGUAGAAUUUCCUGUGUAGCGGUGAAAUGCGUAGAUAUAGGAAGGAAUACCGAUGGCGAAGGCAGCCGGCUGGACCAAUACUGACGCUGAGGUGCGAAAGCGUGGGGAGCAAACAGGAUUAGAUACCCUGGUAGUCCACGCCGUAAACGAUGACAACUAGCCGUUGGACUCCUUGAGGGUUUAGUGGCGCAGCUAACGCGAUAAGUUGUCCGCCUGGGGAGUACGGCCGCAAGGUUAAAACUCAAAUGAAUUGACGG
rnacentral:rRNA from 1 species